CGACAACAUCACAUUUAAACAUUGGUUCCCGUACGAUCACUGAAGUUAAGCAACGUGGAUUCUAGUCAGUAUAUUGAUGGGUGACCGCUUGGGAAUACCAGAUGCUACA